UUAAACCAAUAGAAGAAAUGGCACGGAGGUGAACGCGGCAGCCAGGAGCUUUUACGGAAGUGUGUGAAAGCAGAGUCACAUGAGCAGGCGGCCGCUUAAGAAACGGUACCCCGACAUGGACCUGGAGUCUCGAAUACGGUGACUGACGUCCACGGGUAGCACGGGAACAGCAGCGUCACGGCGUCUCGGGCCGCGGUGAACAUCUGUGAUGGACGAGAUUAAAGUGUCUCCGGACUACAACUGGUUCAGAAGCACGGUGCCACUGAAGAGAGUGAGUACACAGAGCUGCUCGGCCCACUGCGUCAUUAAGGAAGUACACACUUGUUAUGUCCUCUCUGUGCAUGCGAGGAAAAACAAACUCGCAUGCAGUUAGAAGCCAGGUUACUGUUUAGUACAGGUGCAUGGCGGAGGCGAGCUGGAACCGAAACUAUGAUCCGAGCUCACCGAGGCCUUCUGCUCCACUGAACCACAACAUGAAGAAAAAGCCAUUUUUAUUUAACUUUCGUGCUGGAUUGAGCAGUAUGAAAAACAAAAAUGUCAGUAGGCAGUCUAGAGUUUGCACAUGUAGUUCGACUAAUUACAAAAUGAUUGUUAAAUAUUUUUGCGAGCAUACCCUGGAGGAGUCGGGGAGAGUUUACAGGAAGUGGCAUUAGAAACACAACUUUGAGGGUUUUUUUUAACGUCUGUCCUAAAUUACAGACCCUGCUUUUGAUGUAAGACAAUUUAGACUUUUUUCUUUAAUAGUUUUUAAAUGCUCAUGUUCAAAUUUGGCCUCGGACUUUAAAGUGGGGAAAGGUGGGUGGAUAGGACUUUAAAAGUAAAUGUAUGUGAUAUAUGAAGGUAUAAUUUCAGAAUCAUCAUCAUCCAUGUCUGAGUUUUCAGAGAUGACUGAGCAGGAAACGCUCUAAAAACGUUGUUUGGAGCUGGAGUUGUUUAUGUUGUUAUACGUGUGUUUCUGACAUGGCAGUGUAUUUCAUUUUGAAAUGUCAUAGUGAUUGUGACCGUGCACAUGAAUACAUGGAGGGUUACACGUGGAUGCACAAGCAUUCUUGUGGUCAGAUCACCAGUCGUGUGCUCGGUGUGACCUUUGGCACUGAACAUGACAACAUCUCAUAUGAUCCACAGGAUUUUGGUGCAGCCGCAUUUGAGUUGCACCACAAACUAGUUUUACUACAUUAGUACAUUAGUACUACUAUGUACUAGUAUGUACCACGUUUCCCCCGUCCAUGUGUUAGAGCUGCUCUUCAUCACGACAUCUUGUCUUUAGUUCCAGUGACACUCCUCCAGGGAGAGUCACAGCAGCUUAGUUCUGCUCACACUAACACACUGCUGUUGGUGGUGCUGUCUGAACAUGGGUUCACUCUGUCGCCGUGCCAGGAAAUAGUUAGGCUCCAAGUGGUUAGUCUGUGAGCUACUGAAUGCCUGGCUGUCCUCAGAUCUGGUGUGCAUGAGGCUUUCUGCCACUGCAGACUUCCUGCUUUGUUGUCAUGUGAGCACUGAAGGCUUCUGUCCUUAACACAUGUUGGUCAGUCAGCCAUCUGUCACAUGGUCACAUUUAUACUGAUGUUGUGUGCAGUAGUCACAGGGCCGCUGCUUUCAGCAUCAUGUGCUCAGACAGCUAAACUAGGGCGGCAUGGACGAUAAAAAAAAUCUUUUGUUUCCAAGCUUCAUUUAAUCCACAGCUGUGCAGUGCCCAUAUUUGUGCAGUAGAGAGUAAAAAGUGUUCAAUUUCAAUUCAGUUUUAUUUGCACAGCGCCAAAUCACAGCAACAGUCGCCUCAAGGUGCUUUAUAUUAUAAGGUAGACCCUACAAUAGUACACACAGAGAAAACCCCAAAAAUCAUGACACCCCCCCCUCUAAGCAAUCACUUUGGCGACAGUGGGAUAGAAAAACUCCCUCUUAACAGGAGGUAACCUCAGGUAGAACCAGGCUCAGGGAGGGGCGGGGCCAUCUGCUGUGAUUGGUUGGGGUGAGAAGAGAAAGGCAGGAUAAAAGAUAUUAGAUAAAGAUUUAGCUACUAGCCAAAUCCAGUGGAGUGGUUUGGUUUAAACUAGAAUAAAACCAACAAUGGUCUUAAAAAUUAUAUAUUUUAAAAUAAAAUAAUUAAAGACACUACCCAAAAAUGGGUUUUAAUCUAGUUUAAACCAAAGCACUCCACUGGAUUCAGCUACACUUUGGACAGUUUGUCUCUGGAAUGAGUAGCUAGCGAGCUGAUUGGACACCAAAACAGCCAAUCAGAGUGUGUGUGUGUGUGUGUGUUAGCAAACACAUAUAAAUACAUUUCUUGCAAGCGGCAAUGAAUUUUCUUCACUCAAAAUAAUUUUCUCCUCAAAAUGCAACAUUUGUAUUUGCAAAAAUAACAGCAUAUACUGAGGCAUCCAACAGAAUGAAUGCUGGAUAGAAAGCACAUGCAUAGAAAAAUGCUUGGGUAGAGUAGAAGCAGUCCGUUUACCGCAGCAUAUGUAACAUGAGCCAGGCCUGCAGCACUCAUCAUUCUGUAUUUAGUGAACGCUGUAAUAAAACUCCAACAUGGAUACAUGUAGUGAGCAUUUAGUCACAGAUGGGCGGCACGUAGAAUGGCCAACAAAGAACCUGGCAUCACAUUCACGGUGAAUGAUGAAAUGAAUAUAAAAUGUA